rfam:Rattus norvegicus chromosome 15, whole genome shotgun sequence.
GGGGAUUUAGCUCAGUGGUAGAGCGCUUGCCUAGGAAGCGCAAGGCCCUGGGUUCAGUUCCCAGCUCCA